rnacentral:rRNA from 1 species
GCGCGCAAAUUACCCAAUCCUGACACAGGGAGGUAGUGACNAUAAAUAACGAUACAGGGCCUACNGUCUUGUAAUCGGAAUGAGAACAAUUUAAACCACUUAUCGAGGAACAAUUGGAGGGCAAGUCUGGU